GGGACUACCUGAAAGAGCCUUUCAUUCGGGCCGACAGGGGGGCCCUGAUCUAUCAAUUGAGGGAGCAAAAAACAGCCUUUGCUCCGCUUUUUUAAAUAAAGAAAGAAAGAAGGGUCGAAGUUUAGACCGCUCACAGUAGUUCCACCCAAAGAAAAGAUCAUGAAAGAGGCAAUUAGAAUGGUACCCGAAUCCAUUUACGAUCCCGAGUUUCCAGACACAUCGCACUUCUGCUCGGGUCGAGGCUGCCACUCGGCCCUCAAACCGAUCAAAGAAGAGUGGGGAACCUCCUGCUGGUUUUUGGAAUUUGACAUCACCAAGUGUUUUCACACCAUCGACCGACAUCGAUUCAUCUCAAUCUUGAAGGAAGAGAUCAACGAUUCCAAGUUCUUUUACCCCACUUAGAAACAGUUUUCCGCCGGACGACUCGCAGGAGGUGAGAAGGGCGCUGACUCCGUUGCAAACAGUGUACUACUAUCGGCCCUACUAGGCAAUAUCUACCUACACAAGCUCGAUCAGGAGAUAGAGAGGAUCUGGCAAAAGCACGAAAUUCCUCUUGUAGUGAAAAUCCGAUCGGUUCUAUUAAGAAUACGUCGUCGUAUUGAUGACCAAGAAAAGUAUGGAAAAGAAGCAGGCUUCAACGCUCCCGAAGACAACAUAGCCCUCAUAGUGGGGAGGGUAAAGAGCAUCCAACGCAAAGUGACCUUUCAUUCCCUUGUUUCGUCGUGGCACCCCCCCCCCACAAGCACCCCCAGGCGAAGGGGAGACCAGAAAACGCCUUUCGUUUUCCCCCCCUUCAGCGGCCCUAGCCGCCUACCUAAACAAGCCCUCGAGCCUCCUUUGCACCGCCUUCCUCAUAGAAGCCACUGGGUUGACCCCGAAGGCCGAAUUCAACGGUAGAGAAGGCUUUAAUUAGAAUUUGGCCAUGAGAGACCUUCUUAAGUAUUGCAAAAGAAGGGGCCUGCUGAUAGAGCUGGGCGGGUAGGCGAUACUAGUUAUCAGGUCAGAGAGAGGCCUGGCCCAUAAGCUGGCCCCCUUUAAAAGCCAUUCCUUAUUAAUAAGGAUUUGUUACGCGCGAUAUGCCGAUGACUUACUAUUGGGAAUCGUGGGUGCCGUAUUUCUUAACAUAGAAAUACAAAAACGUAUCACCCACUUCCAACAAUCCGGCCUGAACCUUUGGGUGGGCUCCGCAGGAUCAACAACCAUAGCUGCACUGAGUACAGUAGAAUUCCUCGGUACGGUCAUUUGGGAAGUCCCCCCGAGGACGACUCCCAUACAAUUCUUGCGAGAGCUGGAGAAGCGUCUACGGGUAAAGCACCGUAUCCAUAUAACUGCCUGCCACCUACGCUCCGCCAUCCAUUCCAUGUUUAGGGACCUAGGUUAUAGUAUCCCUAUCAAAGAGCUGACGAAGGGGAUGAGCGGAAGAGGUCGUCUACUGGACGCGGUUCAACUAGCAGAGACUCUUGGAAAAGAUGGACUAAAAAGUCCCCAAGUUAGCGUAUUAUGGGGGACCGUCAAGCACAUCCGGCAAAGAUCAAGGGGGAUCCCGCUGUUGCAUAGCUCAGGUCAGAGCAAGGUGCCAUCAGGCAUUCAACAAGCAGUCUCACGAUCAGGCAUGAGUUUUCUAAAGACAAAAUUGUAUACUCCCUUGGUCGAAAGGCGGCAGGGGAAGGAAGGGGGCACUGGGCGGGAUCUUUCAGCAGCGAAUUCCCCAUACAGAUAGAGGCGCCUAUCAAAAAGAUACUCCGAAGGCUUUGGGAUCGAGGUCUCAUUAGCCGAAGAAGACCUAGGCCAAUCCACGUGGCCUCUUUGACCAACAUCAGCGACAGACAUAGUAAAUUGGUCCACGGGCAUCGCGAUAAGUCCUCUGUCCUACUACAGGUGCUGCCACAACCUUUCCCAAGUCCGAACGAUUGUCAACUACCAGAUCCGCUAGUCCGCUAUAUUCACCCUAGCCCACAAGCACAAAUCUUCGGCGUGGAAUAUAAUCCCAAAGUACCCCAAAGACUCAAAUAUAGUAAAUCAAGAAGGUGGUAAGACACUUGUGGAGUUCCCAAACAGCAUAGAGCUUGGGAAGCUCGGGCUUGGUCAAGAUCCUAACAACAACGGAGCACUCAACUACAUGUUUAAUAAGUAGUUGUCCUUUUCUAUUUGGAUUUUUGCGAACAGGCGUUUACAAGUUGAGUAGGCUUGCCUUAGUUGUCUGCUAUAAGAUAGCUAGUUGUGGGGCUUUCGAAAAAAAGGCUGAAGGCUCCGCUAUCGCUCAUGGCUUGUAUUGUAGUCGUAGUCUUGUAGUCGGCCCUCCAUGCCUCUUUAGUCUUUCUAAUCCUGAGGCCUUUUUCCUUCAUUCAUUUUGCGGUAGCUUACAUGUCAGAAAAAGGCCUCCUUUCCAGCCCGGAAGAUCGCUUCGCUUCAGGUGACUAGCUUCUACCCACAAUGGCUAAAGCUACCUUGAAUCAAUCAAUGAAUGAAUGAUUCGUAACCCCCAUGGGUUCGAGGACCCGUUGGUCAAAGGAAAGGGGGGUCCAGAUUCCAGGACGGAGCUGUAUGAGGCGAGAAUCUCACGUACGGUUCCUUUGAGAAGGGUGUGAUACCACCACCUAUCAAGCCCGACGAGCGGUCCACGGAGCUGCAUCCCUACUCACCCGGUCUAUGCACAUUGCUCUUUCCAGGAGGUUGGCCGCCUAUGCUAGAUCUUCCCAUUUCCAAGAAGAUCCCUUGUUCUAUCUGGUUUAGUAUCAAGGUUCUUCCUUUUCUGUUUCUAUAUAUAUGGGUCCGUGCAGCAUUUCCACGAUAUCGUUAAUAUCAAUUAAUGGGACUUGGCCAGAAAGUGUUCUUGCCUCUAUCAUUAGCUCGGGUAGUCCCCGUUUCAGGUGUUUCAGUCACCGUUCGAUGGCUCCCUUAAUGUAUGUGCCAGGAAGUUUCAUCUGAAGGGGGCUACUCCCCGAAAAUGCCCCACCCCUUGUUUGUUUGUCGUUGGGGAUUCAUUGCUCGUUCUGCGGUUAUAAGUAACGUAGCCAGCCAAAUUUCUAGAAUAGGGCUGCGGGCAGGAGGGCUUUGUUUGUGCAAUCUUGCUUGCAACACCCUCUCCUCCGGCGAACCUACAAUCGCCGUCUCUAACUGAAUGCUCAACUGAGGUCAUGUACAACAACCUUAACCGCACAAGCCUGGGCUGGGCCUACCCCCAUCCCUAGAGGAGCCGUAUGAGGCGGAAGCUCCACGUACGGUUUUGAAGCCGAGCCUUUCCAGCAAUGGGGCCUAGAGACUGAUAUGAUGAUUGGUUUAGGUAGGGCGGCCGGCCUACUAUGGGCACCUGUAGAGAUUAGUGCAUGAGACUGCGAUCCACAAACUGACGCAUGGGACUCACCCUUGACUUGAGAACGGAAGAAGGGAAACAUAGCAUGUCGCAAGAGUGAGGCGAGGGGGCUCCACCCUAUAGCGAUAGGGACGCCUCGUGAGCCGAGCUUUGGAGAUGAGGCCUUUUGGCGAAGCCAAGUCAAUUUCGGGCCACCAAACCCUGCAACUGAGGAAAAGGCCCUACGGAGUAAAGGGAAGCGUGUACGUUGUCACACUCCCUGCCCCCCAAAGGUGCCUAGAGGACGGGCCAGACGGAGCAGAGCGACGCCCCAGGAGCGGAUUCCCCACGAGCAGGGGGACAGGAGACGGCCAUCUCGAGGCACAUCACGACCUACAGGCAACACCGGCGAGACCCGGGAAGGUAACCCGAUUGGGAGUCAGAGGAUCCAUAGUACCCGCAGCCUCCCGGACUUCAUAUUCAUCAUUUUCUAAAGAAAGGGUAAGGGGUCUCUUUUCUACAAUGGAAAAAAAUCAGCGGAGCUGAUUUGACUCAGCACAACCUAACGAUACAUCCAAUACCAAUGAUCUGUGCCUACCGAUACGACACUGAAAAAAUAAAUUACUAUAUAAAGAACUAGUGUCAAUAAAAGGCUAAUGACAGAGAAGAGUCAAUCUCCUUUACUCCUCCCGACACCUCAAGAUGAGAAAAUCCCUUCAUCUAGGCGGGCGCCCAUGCCUACUCAGGGAGCUACUUCUACCACGGCUGACACAUUAUCUCCACGAAGACCAAUGACCCAUCCCGAAGAGAAGUUGACUGACAGGGAUGUCUCGAGAAGAAAUUCCAGAAUUGGUAGCCUCCCAAAUCAAACAUACAUUGACAGGGGUUGUCAACAAAAAGAGAGGAAAGAGACCCUAGUGAAUUUGAUAUGGUACCGUACCUCAAGGAAGGGUAUACUAUACUGUGCCAAAAUGCAAAAUAUUGAAUGGGGUAGGGAACCCUGAACAACACCUCGCCCUUUUCAAAGCAAAGCUACAUGAGGGAAUACUAGGGGCAAUGAAGCCCUUCUUCCCCUAUUCUAUACUAAAUAAACAACCUAAUUCUAGGAAGAGUUUCGAAUACUUUAACUUAAAGGAAGGGGAACAAAGCAAGGGCUUUCAAUGCGCUCAAUCCGUUGCUUGUUCCUUUUCUUUGGAUUUAUUAUCAUAGGUAGUAUUCGAGAUCGCCUCUGUGCGGUGAACGCUCGAAUGUAGCUAACAUCAGUUUUGUCCUCGCGUGGUUGAAGGAGAUGCUGCUGCUGGAUGGAAUGCUUCCGUUCCAGGGUGCCAUGAUCCUUCUAUCAGGAAUAAUUGAGGGCACUGACUAACUGCAUCAAUCAUCACUCAGUGAGCUAUGAAUUGCCGCCAAUAGUGCUUCGCUUGCAUGCAAGACGGCUAAUAAAAGUGCCAGGUAGAUGCGCGGAGAUGCAUUUUGGGUACUGGUGGUACUGGACAAGCUCUAGGGGAAUAAUCUCUUUCUUAUUUCUUUCUCAUGACGACUAGGAACGGGCAAAUCAAAAAUUUCACUUUGAAUUCCGGACCUCAACAUCCUGCUGCUCAUGGUGCUUCACAAUCAGUAUUGGAAAUGAACAGAUAAGUGGUGGAACGUGCGGAACCACAUAUUGGAUCACUCCAGUGUGGCACGAAGCCACUGACACUGAGUAGGCUCCUAUGCCGCUAGCACGGUGGAGGUUCCGUAGCGCGUCAUGAGCACCGGGCAAAGGGACAGUUGAGCGACUCAAGCGAACCGCCCUACCUGACUUUGGAUAAAGAUAGAAGGGAGAAGGUUGUGAAGGUGGCCUCGUUAUCCACACAUCUGGUCGGAGGACCAACCUGGGUUUUCACGAGCGUAGGCGGGUCCUGGAGUGCCCGUCAAGGGCACUAGCGCAUACCCCGGGGUGAUCAUCACCACCUGCACCUCACAUCUCGGCAUAGUGGAAUGUGUAACCCGCCUGCUGUCCAAGUCAACCACUUAAUUUCCUGUAAUUCGUAGUGCCUAACAGAACAUAGCAGCAAGGGACAACCCACCCAUACAAAC